AUUAAAUUUGAAGCUUUGAUCAAUGCCAGGCAACCUUGUUCCCAAUUUAAGUCCACAAAAUUUCUAAAAUGACAUCCAAAUUAACCAUCCUCUCAGGACAAAUGACAAAGCAUAAAUCCUCAAGCAUUCACUUAUUGAAUAACUUUCACAUAACUUAAAACAAACAAAACUCAGAACAGCAUAUGAAUCCCUGAAAAAUCCAAUUUAACCAUUGCCAGCAAAACCUGGAAAUUAGAAAGGGAUGAAAAUAGCAAUAAAUCAUUGUAGCUUAAAAUGCCAACA
rnacentral:misc_RNA from 1 species